GUGCCAGCCGCCGCGGUAAUACGGAGGGUGCAAGCGUUGUUCGGAAUUAUUGGGCGUAAAGCGCGUGCAGGCGGUUCGUUAAGUCUGAUGUGAAAGCCCUGGGCUCAACCCAGGAAGUGCAUUGGAAACUGGCGAACUUGAGUAUGGGAGAGGGAAGUGGAAUUCCGAGUGUAGGGGUGAAAUCCGUAGAUAUUCGGAGGAACACCAGUGGCGAAGGCGGCUUCCUGGACCAAUACUGACGCUGAGACGCGAAAGCGUGGGGAGCAAACAGGAUUAGAAACCCUGGUAGUCC
rnacentral:rRNA from 1 species